AUUGAACGCUGGCGGCAUGCUUUACACAUGCAAGUCGAACGGUAACAGGGUGCUUGCACCGCUGACGAGUGGCGAACGGGUGAGUAAUGCGUCGGAACGUGCCGAGUAGUGGGGGAUAACGCAGCGAAAGUUGUGCUAAUACCGCAUACGUACUGAGGUAGAAAGUGGGGGACCUUCGGGCCUCACGCUAUUCGAGCGGCCGACGUCUGAUUAGCUAGUAGGUGAGGUAAAGGCUCACCUAGGCGACGAUCAGUAGCGGGUCUGAGAGGAUGAUCCGCCACACUGGGACUGGGGCACGGCCCAGACUCCUACGGGAGGCAGCAGUGGGGAAGUUUGGACAAUGGGCGAAAGCCUGAUCCAGCCAUGCCGCGUGUCUGAAGAAGGCCUUCGGGUUGUAAAGGACUUUUGUCGGGGAGGAAAUCCCCAGCGCUAAUACCGCUGGGGGAUGACAGUACCUGAAGAAUAAGCACCGGCUAACUACGUGCCAGCCGCCGCAGUAACAC
rnacentral:rRNA from 1 species